rnacentral:rRNA from 1 species
GACGAACGCUGGCGGCGUGCUUAACACAUGCAAGUCGAACGGAAAGGCCCCCACUUUUUUGGUGGGGGUGCUCGAGUGGCGAACGGGUGAGUAACACGUGGGUGAUCUGCCCUGUACUUCGGGAUAAGCUUGGGAAACUGGGUCUAAUACCGGAUAGGACCAUGGUUUAGUGUCUCAUGGUGGAAAAAUUAUUGUUUUGGUGCAGGAUGAGCUCGCGGCCUAUCAGCUUGUUGGUGGGGUAAUGGCCUACCAAGGCGUCGACGGGUAGCCGGCCUGAGAGGGUGGACGGCCACAUUGGGACUGAGAUACGGCCCAGACUCCUACGGGAGGCAGCAGUGGGGAAUAUUGCACAAUGGGCGCAAGCCUGAUGCAGCGACGCCGCGUGGGGGAUGACGGCCGUCGGGUGGUAAACUCCUUUCGUUAGGGACGAAGCCGCACCUUUUUUGGGUGUGGUGACGGUACCUUUGUUAAGAAGCACCGGCUAACUACGUG